UUACAAAGUAGCAUAUACAAAAUGUUCAUGCAUGAAUUACUUGGUUCCGUAUUAGAUUUGUUUGAGUAUAUCAGGGGGCUGACCACUUGGCCAAUUUAUGGGAAUUUUUGAAAAAAUCAUGUUUUAUUAUGCUCGUUUACUAUUAAUAUGUUUACAGAAUAUUAUGUGGCACCUCAAAUUGUUAAAAUUCAUGCCAUAUGGUUCGUGGAUAUUUAAGGGUGGAGUUGUU
rnacentral:lncRNA from 1 species